GUGAGAUCCUCCACGUCGUGGUUAUGGGUGAACUCCAGGUGGGCCUGCCACCGCAGCCUCUGCGGAGCAUCCUCCAUCAGAGGGGAGUUCGCCAGCAGACUGGAGCCAGGCUCAUCACCUUCUGCCAAGAGAGAGCCGAGGAGGAAAGAAAAAGCAUUCUCUACUACGUGUUCUCCAAGCAGCCAAGCCUCUGUCUUCAGGAGGGUCUGAGCUUCAUGGCUCUAGGCCAGCUCUCUCCCCCCAGAUCCAGAUUCCCACAGCUAAUGGCUUUCUGACAGCUCCAGAGUUUCACCAUGUUGCCCAGGCUGGUCUCGGACUCCUAAGCUCAACAGAUCCGCCUGCUUCAGCCUCCCAAAGUGCUGGGAUUACAAGCGUGAGCACCGCCCCCGGCCAAGCCUUUCACUUCUAACCACAGAAUGGAAGCCUCUCACUCUAUGAAAGGAAGUGGAGACAAUGAGAAUUCAGAAAUGACCGUUGUUAUCCUGGUCCUUAACAGAACCUCUUCUCCAUGCUAUCUGCCAUGGAAUUCUGGUGUUGGGAAUUCUAGAUAAAUUGGGAAGAAUUAGGUAAGUGAGAAGCAAAAAAGAGGAAAAUCAAACCACCACUUCAAAGGAGCUGUGAGAAAAUCCCAGUUCUCUUUAAAGACAUACAAGUGUGGGGGCAAAAAUAGCUCCUGUGGGCAGCUCAGCUGUGUCCCGGCCUCUGCUCCUGCCCCAGACACACACUGGCCAAGCCACGUUUAGGAUAAUGGCCACAGCAGAACAUUCCUGACUGUUAUAGAGGCUUCGGUACCCAAAUGGGAGAGACACUCCCUCCUGCUUCCAGACAUGCCCGCUGAGAACCAGAUGGCAGAACCUGCUUCCCCAACAGGCCAGCCAUCCCCUGGUUGGUUGGUCCUGUGUGAAGAGAAUGGAAUUUUAAUGUCUUCCUUCAGUGUAAAAUAUAUGUGAUAUAGGGUUUCCCUCAGAACUAUGAGCUGGAUGAUUACAUAUUUUUACAUUAAAGAGACUGAGCUAGAAGUUUUAAAAA